rfam:TPA: Bos taurus chromosome 21, whole genome shotgun sequence.
UCCCUGGUAGUCUAGUGGUUAAAACUCAGUGCUUCCACUACAGGGGAUGCAGGUUCGAUCCCUGGUCAGGGAA